ACUAAGAGCUUGCUCUUAGUUGGUUAGCGGCGGACGGGUGAGUAACACGUGGGCAACCUGCCCUGUAGACUGGGACAACUUCGGGAAACCGAAGCUAAUACCAGAUAAUCAAAAGAAGCUCCUGCUUCUUUUGUAAAAGUUGGGAUACUAACACUACAGGAUGGGCCCGCGGCGCAUUAGCUAGUUGGUAAGGUAAUGGCUUACCAAGGCGACGAUGCGUAGCCGACCUGAGAGGGUGAUCGGCCACACUGGGACUGAGACACGGCCCAGACUCCUACGGGAGGCAGCAGUAGGGAAUCUUCCGCAAUGGACGAAAGUCUGACGGAGCAACGCCGCGUGAGCGAUGAAGGCCUUCGGGUCGUAAAGCUCUGUUGUUAGGGAAGAACAAGUAUCGUUCGAAUAGGGCGAUACCUUGACGGUACCUAACCAGAAAGCCACGGCUAACUACGUGCCAGCAGCCGCGGUAAUACGUAGGUGGCAAGCGUUGUCCGGAAUUAUUGGGCGUAAAGCGCGCGCAGGCGGCUCUUUAAGUCUGAUGUGAAAGCCCACGGCUCAACCGUGGAGGGUCAUUGGAAACUGGGGAACUUGAGUACAGAAGAGGAGAGUGGAAUUCCACGUGUAGCGGUGAAAUGCGUAGAUAUGUGGAGGAACACCAGUGGCGAAGGCGACUCUCUGGUCUGUAACUGACGCUGAGGCGCGAAAGCGUGGGGA
rnacentral:rRNA from 1 species